AGUUUGAUCAUGGCUCAGAUUGAACGCUGGCGGCAUGCUUUACACAUGCAAGUCGAACGGCAGCGGGGGCUUCGGCCUGCCGGCGAGUGGCGAACGGGUGAGUAAUACAUCGGAACGUGUCCUUAAGUGGGGAAUAACGCAUCGAAAGAUGUGCUAAUACCGCAUAUCUCUCAGGAGGAAAGCAGGGGAUCGAAAGACCUUGCGCUAAAGGAGCGGCUGAUGUCUGAUUAGCUAGUUGGUGGGGUAAAGGCUUACCAAGGCAACGAUCAGUAGCUGGUCUGAGAGGACGACCAGCCACACUGGGACUGAGACACGGCCCAGACUCCUACGGGAGGCAGCAGUGGGGAAUUUUGGACAAUGGGCGAAAGCCUGAUCCAGCCAUGCCGCGUGAGUGAAGAAGGCCUUCGGGUUGUAAAGCUCUUUUAGUCGGAAAGAAAGAGUCAUAGUAAAUAGCUAUGAUUUAUGACGGUACCGACAGAAAAAGCACCGGCUAACUACGUGCCAGCAGCCGCGGUAAUACGUAGGGUGCGAGCGUUAAUCGGAAUUACUGGGCGUAAAGGGUGCGCAGGCGGCCUUGUAAGUCAGAUGUGAAAGCCCCGGGCUUAACCUGGGAAUUGCGUUUGAAACUACAAAGCUAGAGUGCAGCAGAGGGGAGUGGAAUUCCAUGUGUAGCAGUGAAAUGCGUAGAGAUGUGGAAGAACACCGAUGGCGAAGGCAGCUCCCUGGGUUGACACUGACGCUCAUGCAC
rnacentral:rRNA from 1 species